rnacentral:lncRNA from 1 species
GAUCCGAACAAGUCGAGAAAGAAGUAAGUUGUUGCUGAAUAAGAAAAUUAUAUGAUAACACCUUAUAAUUUCUCAAUUUAUGAUUCUACUACUUGGGUAUUAGAUUUCGAAAGUUUUUUUAAUAUUUAUAAUUCGUUGCAGGGUCUGCUGGUCAGUAGGAGAUUUGAAGAAGGUGAAAGGUUCCUUAAUGUUGGAGAUGGAAGACUAAUUUCAGUUCUAGCAUUAGGGACUAUUAAGCUUGUAUUCAAGUCUAAUGUAAUUGUUCUAAGUGAAUAUCACUUUUAUCCU